rnacentral:rRNA from 1 species
UACAGAGGGUGCAAGCGUUGUUCGGAAUUACUGGGCGUAAAGAGUGUGUAGGCGGUGCUCUAAGUUUGGUGUGAAAUCUCCCGGCUCAACUGGGAGGGUGCGCCGAAAACUGGAAUGCUUGAACAUGGGAGAGGAAAGCGGAAUUCCUGGUGUAGCGGUGAAAUGCGUAGAUAUCAGGAGGAACACCUGCGGUGUAGACGGCUUUCUGGACCAUUGUUGACGCUGAGACACGAAAGCGUGGGUAGCAAACAGG